rnacentral:rRNA from 1 species
GGCGAACCGUUGCGGCCCGUGCUCGUUACGGGCGUGUGUGCCGUGUCGUGUUUGUCAUCCUUCCAGAGAGCUGCGUCUACCAUUCAUUUGGCCGGACGUACGCGAUCUGGGUCUAUUACUUUGAAAAAAUUAGAGUGUUUAAAGCAGGCCUUCGCUAUGAAUACAUUAGCAUGGAAUAAUAAUUUAGGACUUCGGUUCUAUUUUGUUGGUUUCUAGGACUGAAGUA